rnacentral:rRNA from 1 species
UACGAAGGGGGCUAGCGUUGUUCGGAAUUACUGGGCGUAAAGCGCGCGUAGGCGGCUUUGCAUGCCAGAGGUGAAAUGCCUGAGCUCAACUUGGGAAUUGCCUUUGGGACUGUGAGGCUUUGAGGACUGGAGAGGUGAGUGGAAUUCCCAGUGUAGAGGUGAAAUUCGUAGAUAUUGGGAAGAACACCGGUGGCGAAGGCGGCUCACUGGCCAGUUUCUGACGCUGCAGCGCGAAAGCGUGGGGAUCAAACAGG